AAAUGGUUCUGGCUGGCAGUCCCGGUGCCAGGCAUUUUGUGAACCGCAAGUGUGAAUCGGUGGUUGUGGGAAACGUUCCCCACAAGAAUAUUCUAGUUUUACCCUUAAGGGUGCAGUAUUACAUGGUUGCAGUUGGACACGAUAUUAAUUUUUAGUUUUUUGGUUUUUACAUGCUUAACUGGACAUUGUAUUCACUGACUUCAAUUUAAAGUUCAAUAUAGAACUCGUUUUACCCAAUU
rnacentral:lncRNA from 1 species